CUUCACCUUCUUCCUACCUCCCCCAUUUAUACCGUUGUAUUGAACUCGAAUCGAACAGUCCCCUGGGACCCCCGGACUAGAGCUAAGGCUAGCCCUGGGGUGGGGCGGGGAUUCGCAGCAGGAGUCGCCCUCCUGUCGAACCCCCUUGAGAUGUUGUGUCCGGAUCCGCGAUCUGAGUUUGAGCUGCGGCAGGCGAGGCUGCAGCCUCGGGGCUUCCUGGCGGGGUGGGAUGGGGGACUGGAGGUGAGGCUAGGUAGGUGGAGCGAGAUGGGUACCUGUCACCCCUUGGGGAGGUGCUCAGGGAUAAAGGGGUGCACGGCAGAUGCUGACAGGUCCUCGCCCCUUCCCUUUCCCCCACAGGCCUCAGUGUAGCCUCAAUCCGCACGGGCAGCCGGAACGAGUGCCUGUCCCCCACCUCCGCGAAAAUACAAACCCACGCCUGCUCUCUGCGGAGGGAUUGCUGCGGGGUGCUGUGGGAGCCCCAGUUCCCAGUACCCGCGUUUCUCCGCGCUCGCUGGGCAAGUCCGGGGCAACACUGCCCCCUAGGGGCCGCCGCCCCGGGCUUGCGUAUGGGCGGCGUGGUCUGGGGGUCGGUCUCGUUCUGGGACGGGGCUGGUCGGGCUGCUGGAUCCCCGGCAGUCGGAUCAUCUCGGAAGGCCUCCAGUUGUGGAACCCCGGGUGGAGGGCGGUGAGCCCGGUUUUCCCUGUGCUUGCUGGGCUCAAAGUGCAUGAAAGUGUCAUCUGGCUCCUGAGGCUUCCUGUGUGCCCAGGGUAGAGGACAAUCCACAUGGCUGAACCUGGAUCAGGUGGGCCCUCCCGAGGCCUGGUUGGUGGUGAGAUACACAUGACUGUGAUGCCCUUGGCCUUUGGAGGAGGGGGCAGUAAGGUGAGCAGACAGCACCACAGGUGAGGUGCCUACGUCAGCCAGGAGGAACUGAGAAGCUCUCCUCGAGCUGAUGAGGGUUCAGUGCCUUUCGCUGCUUUAUGCCUGGCAACUUGGGUGGUUUGCUCAGGAUAGAGGUGGCUGAGGGGCAGAGGGGAGACUGGAGACCAGCGAGGGAGUUGUUACUGCAGCGUAAGUUGGUGAAGGCCUGCACCUGGGCACAAAAUUCCCACCUGGCCCUCUACCCUGGGCCGGUUCUGUUUCCUGCCCUCCUGGGCCAGCUCCGAGACCCAGUCAUCCACCUAUUCUGAGUGGCCCCUGCUGUGGAG
rnacentral:lncRNA from 1 species